AAUCCAUUUCUUUUAUCAGUUUUAAUCUCUCAAUUCCUCUCCUCUCUCAAGAAUAAAAUGGAAACUAGGCUUUCUUUCAAGAUCAAGAAUCAAUCUCGUAAGUCCAAGAUUUCCAAAGAACAAAUCAAGAUUCGAGUUCUACUCUUCAAACCUUGUAAUCUAAGGAUCUGAGGCACGGUCUCGGGGUCCAGUUCAGCAAUAGGUUUGAGUGCGUCGGAAGUUGCAAUUGUUCCUCUUUGUAAAUGAAUAGUGUAUAUGAUUGCAAGUUAGAAGGGCU